rnacentral:rRNA from 1 species
GAUGAACGCUAGCGGCAGGCUUAACACAUGCAAGUCGAGGGGCAGCACGGGUAGCAAUACCUGGUGGCGACCGGCGCAAGGGUGCGUAACGCGUGAGCAACAUGCCCUAUACAGGGGGAUAAUCCAGGGAAACUUGGUCUAAUAUCCCAUAGUAUUUAGAGGAGGCAUCUUCUAUAAAUUAGAGCUUCGGUGGUAUAGGAUUGGCUCGCGUGACAUUAGCUAGAUGGUGAGGUAACGGCUCACCAUGGCAAUGAUGUCUAGGGGUUCUGAGAGGAAGGCCCCCCACACUGGGACUGAGACACGGCCCAGACUCCUACGGGAGGCAGCAGUGAGGAAUAUUGGACAAUGGAUGGAAAUCUGAUCCAGCCAUGCCGCGUGCAGGAAGACAGCCCUAUGGGUUGUAAACUGCUUUUGUACGGAACGAAAAGCUUUCCUCUAAUACAGGAGAGUCAUGACGGUACCGUAAGAAUAAGCACCGGCUAACUACG